rnacentral:tRNA from 1 species
GAAAGUUCAAUUACUAUAGAAAUAUCCAAUUGUCAAUUGGAAGGAGCUAUUUAAGCUCUGACAAUUUUCU